rnacentral:rRNA from 1 species
AGUGAACGCUGGCGGCAGGCCUAACACAUGCAAGUCGAACGGCAGCGGGUCCUUCGGGAUGCCGGCGAGUGGCGGACGGGUGAGGAAUACAUGGGAAUCUGCCCAGUCGUGGGGGAUAACGUAGGGAAACUUACGCUAAUACCGCAUGCGACCUUAGGGUGAAAGCGGCGGACCGCAAGGCGUCGAGCGAUUGGAUGAGCCCAUGUCGGAUUAGCUAGUUGGCGGGGUAAAGGCCCACCAAGGCGACGAUCCGUAGCUGGUCUGAGGGGAUGAUCAGCCACACUGGAACUGAGACACGGUCCAGACUCCUACGGGAGGCAGCAGUGGGGAAUAUUGGACAAUGGGCGAAAGCCUGAUCCAGCCAUGCCGCGUGUGUGAAGAAGGUCUUCGGAUUGUAAAGCACUUUAAGUUGGGAGGAAGAGUUGUAAGCUAAUAUCUUGCAGCUUUGACGUUACCAACAGAAUAAGCACCGGCUAACUCUGUGCCAGCCGCCGCCGUAAUAC